rnacentral:ribozyme from 1 species
UGGGAGUACGACUACAACCUCUUCUGGACUCUGCAGGUGGUCUCGUACGCGUUCUUCUUUUUCGCCCUCGUCUCGAUGUGUUAU